AUGGGCACAAGGUUCCACACAACACAACACAACACAUACAUCAACAUAUUAACCAUGAAGCUUCUUCAUGGACUCGCUUUAGUUUUUCUAUUAGCUGCUGCGAGUUGCAAAGCUGAUGAAGAAAUUACUUGCGAAGAGAACAAUCCAUUCACAUGUAGUAACACUGAUAUUUUAAGCAGUAAAAACUUCGGAAAAGACUUCAUCUUCGGUGUUGCAUCUUCUGCUUACCAGAUCGAAGGAGGGAGAGGUCGUGGUGUUAACGUUUGGGAUGGCUUCAGUCACCGAUAUCCAGGUACGUCACAGUGUAUAUAUAUAUACACAUGAGAUGAACGUCGGUUUAUUAUGUACACGUAUUAAUGUAUUUGUAAUUACUAUCAGAGAAAUCAGGGUCACACAAACUCAUAGAUGCACUCCUCGAAAAGAAUAUAACGCCUUUCGUUACCCUCUUUCACUGGGAUCUUCCUCAAACACUCCAAGAUGAGUAUGAAGGUUUCUUGGACCGCCAGAUCAUACAAGAUUUCAAAGACUACGCGGAUCUAUGUUUCAAAGAAUUUGGUGGAAAGGUAAAGCAUUGGAUCACCAUCAACCAGCUAUACACAGUGCCUACAAGAGGCUAUGCUAUCGGAACAGAUGCACCCGGUCGAUGUUCUCCUAUGGUUGAUACCAAGCACAGGUGUUACGGUGGAAAUUCUUCAACAGAACCCUACAUCGUUGCACAUAACCAGCUUCUUGCUCAUGCCACGGUCGUCGAUCUUUACAGGACCAAAUACAAGUUCCAAAAAGGGAAGAUUGGACCUGUGAUGAUUACAAGAUGGUUUCUUCCAUUUGAUGAGUCUGAUCCUGCCUCCAUAGAAGCAGCUGAGAGGAUGAACCAAUUCUUCCAUGGAUGGUACAUGGAGCCGCUAACAAAGGGUAGAUACCCAGACAUCAUGAGGCAGAUUGUGGGUAGUAGGCUUCCCAACUUCACCGAGGAAGAAGCAGAACUCGUUGCUGGUUCAUAUGAUUUUCUUGGUCUCAACUAUUACGUCACUCAAUACGCCCAGCCAAAACCUAACCCAUAUCCUUCAGAGACACACACUGCCAUGAUGGACGCUGGCGUAAAGCUCACAUAUGAUAAUUCACGUGGUGAAUUUCUUGGUCCACUGUUUGUUGAAGACAAAGUAAGCGGCAACAGCUAUUACUACCCAAAAGGCAUUUAUUACGUUAUGGACUACUUCAAAACCAAAUACGGCGACCCUUUAAUCUAUGUCACCGAAAAUGGAUUUAGUACCCCCAGUUCAGAAAACCGUGAGCAAGCUAUUGCCGAUUACAAGCGAAUCGAUUAUCUAUGCAGCCAUCUAUGUUUUCUCCGCAAGGUCAUCAAGGAGAAGGGUGUCAACGUGAGAGGAUACUUUGCAUGGGCUCUUGGAGAUAAUUAUGAAUUCUGCAAAGGUUUCACCGUCAGAUUUGGACUCAGUUACGUUAAUUGGGAAGAUCUGGACGACAGAAACCUCAAAGAAUCUGGCAAAUGGUACCAGAGAUUCAUUAACGGGACUGUCAAGAAUUCUGCGAAACAAGAUUUCCUCCGCUCAAGCCUCUCUUCCCAGAGUCAGAAGAAGAGGCUCGCUGAUGCAUGAAACACUUUCCACCCUCAAGAUCAUCUCUAUAUCUCUCACUCUUCCUACUUACUCCAUAGAUAAGGAGCUUCUUCUAUCUACAAUGUACUAAAUAAACAAUCUCAAUAAAAAGAUGAUCAGUUAUUAAAUGAAUAAAAAUAAUUUAUCUACA